CUCUGUCCAUGGAGUUCUCCAGGGAAGAACACUGAAGGACUGCCGCAGAACAAGGUGGAAAUUGCUCCUAAAGAAUGCUGGAUUCCAGACAACCAGGGAACAACAUUUAAAAGGGAGCCCUGUGACUGAGAAUGACCCAGAAUCUUCCUGCCUCAUACAUCACCUGGAAGACGGCCAAGGCCUUACUGAGGGGUCCAGCCCAUCCUCUCCAUCACCAUGGAUGUGGUA